UUAGAGCACCUAAUUCUUCACUUAGAAAAACACUGAGAACCUCCAGGAUAAAUCUGCUCAGUCACAUUAACCAAAUAGGAUGGAAUUCUGAAGACUUUCGUUCUCUAGCCUCUCCUUAUAGAGGGAAAGCAGGUAGAGAGCUGCCUGAGAGAAAAAGGAGUCUGGGAAGACUGCAGGAUUAAAGCUAGUGAAAGCAGAGUCCAUGUGGUUUGUAUGUGAGAAUAGCUUGCCCCCAAAUCCUGAAUGAGUGUUAAAGCAGUAAUAGUAACUAUUAUUCAAAAACUGACUUUUCCUCAGCCAUUUAAUUGAUGUUGGCUAUGAUUUCUAUUAUGUAAAUCAAAAGUAAACAUUCUACUUAAGGGCUCAUUCUCUGAACAGUGUUCAUAUUCUGUUAGCAUUGUCUUUUUUAUAUCUUUAUUUCAUCUCUUAAUUUUUUUUAAAAAAGGAAAAAAAAUUCUUAUCUAAAUAUUCAGUUAAUAUCUAAAAAUCUACAUUUUGAAACAAAAUGUUGAAAAAUAGCAUAUUCUCCCCCUCAAUUAUAUUUUUUGGUUCUAAAAAUUGAACUAAAACUUGAGCAAAAAUUAUAAGCAAAAUACCUGUUUGUAAAUACGGUUAUUUUUCUAGAACUUAAGAAAGAAUUAUCUGAACAAACUGGACUUAUUCUAAACAACAGCAGUGAGUGCUGUUCUCCUGGGCAAGCCGCCUUGGGCCCUACCCCCAGCUGAGAGGUGACAGUUGUGGGGUCCAGCAAGCACUUCACCCCCACGGGGCCCAGCCCUCACCCACUGGAAUUCAGGAGCCCCCUCUUGGUGGGCAGGUCUGUUGCCAAUUACUUGCCUCUUUCAGAGCAGGUAACAGUAAGGAAAAUGCCCACAGUAGAAAAUCUAAGAAAGCGGAUAGUUCAGAGUUUGAUUCUCUUCACCCUGGCAGUGGAAUGCAGUCAGAGUGGAUGGGAUGAUGAGCCCCCAUCCCAGGUACUGCCAGGUGCCAGGCUUGGCCCCAGCACUGCCCUCCUGGAGCCCCCAGGCAGUGAUCAGUAUGGAAUCUCUAAGACCAGGUGGGUGCCAUGUCCACCCACUCACCAUGAGGCCUCUGUGAGGCAGCCAAGAGACACUCAGCCAUUAUGUGGUUUGUUGAAGGGGUUGAAGUAAGUGAACCUAUUGGAAAUGUUAAUUUACUAGUAAA